AUUAAAGUAAAUAAUGUAGAAUACUAUAAUUUAAUUUUAAUAAAGAAAUUUAUUAAAUUUAUAUAACAAAUUAUAAUUUGAAAACGUUUUCGGUUUCGCAGUCAGAAGUCCAGAAUAUUUUAUCUAUUUUUAGUAUACUCGGGUUGAAGGAAAGGGAAACUAAAAGUCAACAUCACAUUCGCUUUGUGUUCCUCUUAAUGACUGUUGAACCCUUUGAUAUAGAAUUUGAUGAAAAUUUACAAGUGAAAUAUAGGGUAGCGGAUGAUGAGCAGAAUUUUUAAUCUACUGGCAAUUGUUUCAAAAUGGCUCUCCCGUAAGUAAUGUGAAAGAAUGCAGUUUUGGAAGGAUUUCUGAUUAUCUAGCAUUGGCCUAUACGGUUGGGUGAGAAUAGACUAAUCAAAAACUAUCAAAAUUUCUAGUAUAUAAUAAUUAAAAACUAUUACAUUAUGUUUGCAGAAAUUAAUGCUAAAUAAUUUCCAAGAUUCUUGGAUUAUGGUCAAAUAGCACUAGGAUAUACGAUGGUGGUACUUUAUAGCCUAUGGCCUAUCAGCAAACUUGGUUAUAAGGAUUGCUCUAUAGUGAAAGGAAUGGAAUUUUUUUAUGUGACUUUCCAUCCGAUGAAUAAUAAACAGCAAAGCAUUCUGGUACCGAUCUGUGAUGGAAUCAAUCGUCAGAUGGAAGAUAGGAUUCAACCAGUUGGGAUAGGAUCCCUUCUGAGAAAAUCCUGGGAGUAUGAGGCCGGGAAAUGAAGUGUAUUAGCACAGCCAGCUUCCAUUAAAGUUUUCCUUCCGGCUGACAGAAAAAUUUGGAAGUGUAAGACACAGAGCCUUCCGGGUGGAAGUUUAGCAGGCUUCUACAUCUUCAUUCAAUCUUUAUAAAUAAUUUAAAAACAUUCGUUUAUUUUAACAGUAUUUUAUAUUAUGAGAUAGCGA
rnacentral:lncRNA from 1 species